UAGGGAAUCUUCGGCAAUGGACGAAAGUCUGACCGAGCAACGCCGCGUGAGUGAAGAAGGUUUUCGGAUCGUAAAACUCUGUUGUUAGAGAAGAACAAGGACGUUAGUAACUGAACGUCCCCUGACGGUAUCUAACCAGAAAGCACGGCUAACCACGUGCCAGCAGCCGCGGUAAUACGUAGGUGGCAAGCGUUGUCCGGAUUUAUUGGGCGUAAAGCGAGCGCAGGCGGUUUCUUAAGUCUGAUGUGAAAGCCCCCGGCUCAACCGGGGAGGGUCAUUGGAAACUGGGAGACUUGAGUGCAGAAGAGGAGAGUGGAAUUCCAUGUGUAGCGGUGAAAUGCGUAGAUAUAUGGAGGAACACCAGUGGCGAAGGCGGCUCUCUGGUCUGUAACUGACGCUGAGGCUCGAAAGCGUGGGGAGCAAACAGG
rnacentral:rRNA from 1 species